rnacentral:lncRNA from 1 species
UGGUGAUUUUUUUUUUUAGGGUAAACUUCAAACACCACUUCUGUGAUUUCGCACUUACUUAUUUUAGUACUCUGUUGUUUAAAGUGUAUCAAGUUAGUGUCAUGUGGUUUCAUUUUUAUCUUUUUAUUAUCGUUUUCACUAAUUUUUUUUUAUUAAAUCAGUGAUAAAGUUAAAAUUAAAGCGCACUAAAGUGAAUAUUCGAUAAAUCUAGAUGGAAUAUCUGAAUUUUUUGUGUAUAUAAUUUAACAAAAUAUUAAUGAAAAAAUUGACGAAAAGAUAUAUAUAUAUAUAUAUAUUUUUUUUUAAUGAG